rnacentral:rRNA from 1 species
AGAGUUUGAUCAUGGCUCAGAUUGAACGCUGGCGGCAUGCUUUACACAUGCAAGUCGAACGGUAACAGGUCUUCGGAUGCUGACGAGUGGCGAACGGGUGAGUAAUACAUCGGAACGUGCCUAGUAGUGGGGGAUAACUACUCGAAAGAGUAGCUAAUACCGCAUGAGAUCUACGGAUGAAAGCAGGGGACCUUCGGGCCUUGUGCUACUAGAGCGGCUGAUGGCAGAUUAGGUAGUUGGUGGGGUAAAGGCUUACCAAGCCUGCGAUCUGUAGCUGGUCUGAGAGGACGACCAGCCACACUGGGACUGAGACACGGCCCAGACUCCUACGGGAGGCAGCAGUGGGGAAUUUUGGACAAUGGGCGAAAGCCUGAUCCAGCAAUGCCGCGUGCAGGAUGAAGGCCCUCGGGUUGUAAACUGCUUUUGUACGGAACGAAAAGCCUGGGGCUAAUAUCCCCGGGUCAUGACGGUACCGUAAGAAUAAGCACCGGCUAACUACGUGCCAGCAGCCGCGGUAAUACGUAGGGUGCAAGCGUUAAUCGGAAUUACUGGGCGUAAAGCGUGCGCAGGCGGUUUUGUAAGACAGUGGUGAAAUCCCCGGGCUCAACCUGGGAACUGCCAUUGUGACUGCAAGGCUAGAGUGCGGCAGAGGGGGAUGGAAUUCCGCGUGUAGCAGUGAAAUGCGUAGAUAUGCGGAGGAACACCGAUGGCGAAGGCAAUCCCCUGGGCCUGCACUGACGCUCAUGCACGAAAGCGUGGGGAGC